rnacentral:lncRNA from 1 species
GUUUCUUACUGUAAAUACUAAAUAAAAGUAAACUAUAAGCCAAAUAAGUUAGAUAAAUAAGAUUGUGGCUAUGUUUUAUAGUAUUAAUUGUGUUUAAAAUAUAGUAGUUUGGUUAUAGCAAUAAUGUUGUAUUUUGUAAAAAUUGUUUGUUGCGUUUUGUCAAAAAUGUGUAGUUUUGUUGUUCUUAGAAAUUGGUCAUUCUCAUUAGUCCUCCAAUUUGGCAAGAAGAGGAGGACUGAAGGGAAAUUAUUUUGGUCUGUAUUUCAACUGAAGCAGGCUACAUGGUUAGCUGAAAACAUUUUGAAUAAACAAUUUAUUUUACAUAUUUGGCUUAUAGUUUAUUUUU